rnacentral:rRNA from 1 species
AGAGUUUGAUCCUGGCUCAGAUUGAACGCUGGCGGCAUGCCUUACACAUGCAAGUCGAACGGUAACGCGGGGGCAACCCUGGCGACGAGUGGCGAACGGGUGAGUAAUGCAUCGGAACGUGCCCAGUAGUGGGGGAUAGCCCGGCGAAAGCCGGAUUAAUACCGCAUACGACCUACGGGUGAAAGCGGGGGACCGCAAGGCCUCGCGCUAUUGGAGCGGCCGAUGUCCGAUUAGCUAGUUGGUGGGGUAAAGGCCCACCAAGGCGACGAUCGGUAGCUGGUCUGAGAGGACGACCAGCCACACUGGGACUGAGACACGGCCCAGACUCCUACGGGAGGCAGCAGUGGGGAAUUUUGGACAAUGGGCGAAAGCCUGAUCCAGCCAUGCCGCGUGCGGGAAGAAGGCCUUCGGGUUGUAAACCGCUUUUGGACAGGAACGAAACGGCGUGGGCGAAUAAUCGAGACGCUAAUGACGGUACCUGCAGAAUAAGCACCGCA